GAUGAACGCUGGCGGCGUGCCUAAUACAUGCAAGUCGAGCGGUAAGGUUCUCACUCUGUACUUAAUUUCUUAAGUAUGGUGUGAGAAUACACGAGCGGCGGACGGCUGAGUAACGCGUAGGAAUGUACCCCAAACUGAGGGAUAAGCACCAGAAAUGGUGUCUAAUACCGCAUGUUAUCUUCGGAUUAAAGCUCUCGAGCGGUUUGGGAACAGCCUGCGUAUGAUUAGCUUGUUGGUGAGGUAAUAGCUCACCAAGGCGACGAUCAUUUAGCUGGUCUGAGAGGAUGAUCAGCCAGACUGGGACU
rnacentral:rRNA from 1 species